rnacentral:rRNA from 1 species
AGCGGCGGACGGGUGAGUAACACGUGGGUAACCUGCCCAAGAGACUGGGAUAACACCUGGAAACAGAUGCUAAUACCGGAUAACAACACUAGACGCAUGUCUAGAGUUUGAAAGAUGGUUCUGCUAUCACUCUUGGAUGGACCUGCGGUGCAUUAGCUAGUUGGUAAGGUAACGGCUUACCAAGGCAAUGAUGCAUAGCCGAGUUGAGAGACUGAUCGGCCACAUUGGGACUGAGACACGGCCCAAACCCCUACGGGAGGCAGCAGUAGGGAAUCUUCCACAAUGGACGAAAGUCUGAUGGAGCAACGCCGCGUGAGUGAAGAAGGGUUUCGGCUCGUAAAGCUCUGUUGGUAGUGAAGAAAGAUAGAGGUAGUAACUGGCCUUUAUUUGACGGUAAUUACUUAGAAAGUCACGGCUAACUACGUGCCAGCAGCCGCGGUAAUACGUAGGUGGCAAGCGUUGUCCGGAUUUAUUGGGCGUAAAGCGAGUGCAGGCGGUUCAAUAAGUCUGAUGUGAAAGCCUUCGGCUCAACCGGAGAAUUGCAUCAGAAACUGUUGAACUUGAGUGCAGAAGAGGAGAGUGGAACUCCAUGUGUAGCGGUGGAAUGCGUAGAUAUAUGGAAGAACACCAGUGGCGAAAGCGGCUCUCUGGUCUGCAACUGACGCUGAGCUCGAAAGCAUGGGUAGCGAACAGGAUUAGAUACCCUGGUAGUCCAUGCCGUAACGAUGAGUGCUAAGUGU